ensembl:lncRNA
CAUGGCAACUGUAAACAUUGUGCGGGAGCAUGCCCGGUUGUCAUGGGAACUGUCUGCGGGAGCAUGAAGGCAGCCGGACGGAGCGCGUCUGCGGGUCACUGGCAACAUUAGCCGAAGAGAGAACUGUACAAAAAUAACAUUAGCAACACAUCAGCAUGUUACAAUCCACAGUUGCUCCAGUGGAGGGGAGGUUACGUCGCUGUGUGCCAAGCCUGCCAGCUAUCAAGCCAGACAGGCUGAAAACCGCUAAAGCACUGGUGGAGAAAGCAGUGAAGGUGAUUAUAUGCUGAAACAGAUUUCACGUUGAUACCUGUCCAUGUUCAGCCGCUAUCCAUUUGUGUGAUAUGUCAUUUUUUUCCCCAUUUCUUUUCCACUUAUUCUCAGUGGAGGAAAGUGUUUUCAGUGCAGGGACCCUUAUCCUGUGAUCCGCGCUGCCUUAUGGGCCAGAGGGUGGGUGGAACGUCAUUUUCCCCAUCCGGUCCAGAGAGCCCCUCAUUACCAUGGCGAUGACGAAGAAGAUGGUGAUGACGGGGAUGGAGGUGCUGAUCUUAGUGUUGGUCACAUGCUGUGUUCGUCACAAAAGGAAACCGAUCACAGUAGCUCCUCUCAGAUGGGACUGAUGUAAAUGUGGAAAUACGUCAUCCAGGUGCACAGACAAAGUCUGAAAUGUUUGCUAGGUUAGCGUCCCACAUGUUCUUUGGCUCAGCUAAAGCUAACUCUCUCCAACUUCUGGAUCUUUUUAGUUGCUUGUUGUUAAAAUAUCUUGCUAGAGGUGCUGAAGCUCAGAAAGUCUGAGAUGUUUGUUCAAAAUAAGCUCCUUCUCAAGUCUUAUCUGAACUGUCCUCUUUUAUCUCAUUUAUGUAGAGAUUAAACUUCAGUGUCAUUCAUUGAUGUUAAAGUGCAGUUUUUCAAAUGUUUGUUGCAC